GGCUGGAGCUCAAACUGCACGUUGCUGAGUGAACAACAUCUCACUCAAAGUUAUUCUUGUUUAGGAUCCGUGAACCUUAGAGGACAUGCACGUUAUGGUAAAAACAAUUUCAGGCAAGCCUGAUCAGUGAAGGAGCCAGGACAGGUUGAUACUCAGCAGAAGGAGUCCUGAGCAGGAAAAGUGCAUGGAAUGUCUGGUGUCAGUCUGUGACUCACCAUUCUUGCUCAUUGGUACACAUAAGACCUCCUUUGGGGACCUGCACAAUUACCUGGGGAGCACUUUGCCUGGAUUUGUGGGUCUACGUUGUGAGUUGGAGAAAAGAUCUAUAGAAGAUGAAGAGGAAGCAUAUUAGCUCUUGAACAUUGAACAAUUCAUUCUGGAGAGAAACCCUGUGAAUAACGUCACCAAGUGUUGGAAGGUCUUCAGUUAUACUGAUGGUUGAAACCCAGAGAAUUCAUACAGGAGAGAAACUGGCUGUGAUAAAUGCGGACAUGAAAAAAAAAAAAGAACAAAACCGUGGACAUGCUCGCUGACCUAGGUGAAGCUUUACAACAACAUCAAAGACUUCAUUUCGGGGAAGAAUCUUAUGAAUGUAAUGAAUGUGGUGAUACCCUCACUAGACCUGUGCCUGAGAAUCUGCU